rnacentral:rRNA from 1 species
GGGGAAUUUUGGACAAUGGGGGCAACCCUGAUCCAGCCAUGCCGCGUGAGUGAAGAAGGCCUUCGGGUUGUAAAGCUCUUUCGCGAGGGAAGAAAUUGCACCGGAUAAUACCUGGUGUAGAUGACGGUACCUUGAUAAGAAGCACCGGCUAACUACGUGCCAGCAGCCGCGGUAAUACGUAGGGUGCGAGCGUUAAUCGGAAUUACUGGGCGUAAAGCGUGCGCAGGCGGUUUCGUAAGACAGGCGUGAAAUCCCCGGGCUUAACCUGGGAACUGCGCUUGUGACUGCGAGGCUAGAGUACGGCAGAGGGAGGUAGAAUUCCACGUGUAGCAGUGAAAUGCGUAGAGAUGUGGAGGAAUACCGAUGGCGAAGGCAGCAUGCCAGCGCCUUACUGACGCUGAGGCACGAAAGUGUGGGUAUCGAAC